rnacentral:rRNA from 1 species
GACAGAGGUGCCGAGCGUUAGGCGGAAUCACUGGGCUUAAAGCGUGUGUAGGCGGAUCGUUAAGUACCUUGUGAAAUCCCACGGCUCAACCGUGGAACUGCUGGGUAUACUGGCGGUCUUGAGCCACCUAGGGGCGAGCGGAACAAGCGGUGGAGCGGUGAAAUGCGUAGAUAUCGCGUGGAACGCCAACGGUGAAAACAGCUCGCUGGGGGUGUGCUGACGCUGAGACACGAAAGCCAGGGGAGCGAACGGG